rnacentral:sRNA from 1 species
CGCGGAUGUUUGUAAGGCAUCCAAAAUAAGCAGCCGCCAGCGCCAAUAAAUAAGCCCAUUAACCGGCGAAGUUCGAGUUUACGAUCCCCCAUGCUUUUUUCAAAGUUGCUGAGGGGCGGGAAUCUUCGUUGCGGGAAGAAGAAAAGGCAAUUCCAAAGGUGAAAACGCAGCCAACUGGCUCACGGCAAAGAGUGGUCGGAAGAAGCGCUGCCCCUACACGAAGCACCAGACACUGGAGCUGGAGAAGGAGUUUCUGUUCAACAUGUACCUUACUCGAGAGCGGCGCCUAGAGAUUAGCCGCAGCGUCCACCUCACGGACAGACAAGUGAAAAUCUGGUUUCAGAACCGCAGGAUGAAACUGAAGAAAAUGAAUCGAGAAAACCGGAUCCGGGAGCUCACAGCCAACUUUAAUUUUUCCUGAUGAAUCUCCAGGCGACGCGGUUUUUUCACUUCCCGAGCGCUGGUCCCCUCCCUCUGUCUUCAGCCUCUGCCCAGGAACUCGCACCUGUGCUGGAGCCCUGUUCCUCCCUCCCACACUCGCCAUCUCCUGGGCCGUUACAUCUGUGCAGGGCUGGUUUGUUCUGACUUUUUGUUUCUUUGUGUUUGCUUGGUGCUGGUUUAUUUGUUGUUUUCUGGGGGAAAAAGCCAUAUCGUGCUAAAAUUCUAUAGAGAUAGAUAUUGUCCUAAGUGUCAAGUCGUGACUGGGCUGGGUUUGCUGUCUUGGGGUCCCACUGCUCGAAAUGGCCCCUGUCUUCGGCCGAGCUGGUUUCCUGCCCAGCCUGGGGCAAACCUAGCCGGAAGGCCGAGGUCCCAUUGUUGGCGCUGAGGUGUCUGGCCUGAGGUCAAUGGUGCAAAGGAGCCGCCACCGGGCAUGUCUGCCUGGAGUGCUGUGCUGUGUUUAAUCAGGGGAUACAGGCCCCUGGGUUUCUUUUUUCUUUCUUC